rnacentral:rRNA from 1 species
UUGACCUCGGAUCAGGUAGGGUUACCCGCUGAACUUAAGCAUAUCAAUAAGA